GCUCAGUUGGUUGAGAAUCUGACUCUUGAUUUCAGCUCAGGUCACGAUCCCGAGGUCAUGGGAUCAAGUCCCAUAUUGGGCU
rfam:Felis catus isolate Cinnamon breed Abyssinian chromosome A2, whole genome shotgun sequence.